rnacentral:rRNA from 1 species
GACGAACGCUGGCGGCGUGCCUAAUACAUGCAAGUCGAGCGAUGAAGAUUUGUUCUUGCACUAAUUUGGAGGGCAGCGAACGGGUGAGUAACGGGUGGUGAAUCUUCCUUUGAGCGGUGGACAACGUUUGGAGACGAAAGUUAAGACCACAUGACAACUUUAAACAUAUGUUUUAAGUUUUAAAGAUGCGAUUGCAUCACUCAAGGAUUAUCCCGCGUUGUAUGAGCUAGUUGGCGAGGCAAAGGCUGACGAAGGGGAUGAUACAUAGCCGACCUGAGAGGGUGAUAGCCCACAUUGGGAGUGAGACAGGGACCAUAGUACUACGGGAGGGAGCAGUAGGGAAUCUGAGGCAGUGGACGAGAGUCUGACCGAGCAAGGCCGAGUGAGUGACGAAGGUUCCCGGAUGGUAAAAAUCUGUUGGUAGAGAAGAACGUUUGUGGGAGUGGAAAGAGCAUCAAGUGACGGUACCUACACAGAAAGCGACGGCUAACUACGUG